UCUUGAUCUUUAUUUUUGUUGGAUGCUUGUCGAGCAGAUUGACCAAUACUUUAACUCUAGCUGUACUUGGUCGCGUUCGAUCUUUAGUAGCUUUAUCUACUGCGAUAGGCUUUCCUACUGCUGACGCGAUGGACAGAAUAGAUUUUUUGGCAAACAGAUUUGCAGGCAGAUCGGGAAAAGAAAUCCAUACCACAGCUUUUGACGUUUCCUCUCGCGGAUUAAAUCCCAUUGUCCACGGGAAUGUCCUAAAGAAGAAAUCUUCUCC
rnacentral:lncRNA from 1 species